CCUACGGGUGGCAGCAGUGAGGAAUAUUGGUCAAUGGGCGUAAGCCUGAACCAGCCAAGUCGCGUGAGGGAUGAAGGUUCUAUGGUUCGUAAACCUCUUUUAUAAGGGAAUAAAGUGCGGGACGUGACCCGUUUUGUAUGUACCUUAUGAAUACAGAUAGGCUAAGUCCGUGCCAGCAGCCGCGGUAAGACGAAGUGUCCGAGAGUUAUCCGGAUUUAUUGGGUUUAGAGGGAGCGUAGGCGGCCUUUUAUGUCAGCGGUGAAAGGCUGUGGCUCAACGAGAGAAGUGCCGUUGAAACUGGGAGGAUUGAGUAUGUGUGAGGCAGGCGGAAGGCGGGGUGGAGCGGUGAAA
rnacentral:rRNA from 1 species